rnacentral:rRNA from 1 species
UACAGAGGUCCCAAGCGUUGUUCGGAUUCAUUGGGCGUAAAGGGUGCGUAGGCGGCUCUUUAAGUCAGUGGUGAAAUACUGCAGCUCAACUGUAGCAUUGCCAUUGAUACUGAAGAGCUUGAGUACAGAUGAGGUAGGCGGAAUUUAUGGUGUAGCGGUGAAAUGCAUAGAUACCAUAAAGAACACCGAUUGCGAAGGCAACUUACUAGCUGUAACUGACGCUGAGGCACGAAAGCGUGGGGAGCGAACGAGGA